AUUGAACGCUGGCGGCAGGCCUAACACAUGCAAGUCGAGCGGAUGAAGGGAGCUUGCUCCUGGAUUCAGCGGCGGACGGGUGAGUAAUGCCUAGGAAUCUGCCUGGUAGUGGGGGAUAACGUCCGGAAACGGGCGCUAAUACCGCAUACGUCCUGAUGGAGAAAGUGGGGGAUCUUCGGACCUCACGCUAUCAGAUGAGCCUAGGUCGGAUUAGCUAGUUGGUGGGGUAAAGGCCUACCUAGGCGACGAUCCGUAACUGGUCUGAGAGGAUGAUCAGUCACACUGGAACUGAGACACGGUCCAGACUCCUACGGGAGGCAGCAGUGGGGAAUAUUGGACAAUGGGCGAAAGCCUGAUCCAGCCAUGCCGCGUGUGUGAAGAAGGUCUUCGGAUUGUAAAGCACUUUAAGUUGGGAGGAAGGGCAGUAAGUUAAUACCUUGCUGUUUUGACGUUACCAACAGAAUAAGCACCGGCUAACUUCGUG
rnacentral:rRNA from 1 species